UACGUAGGGGGCUAGCGUUGUCCGGAAUCAUUGGGCGUAAAGAGCGUGUAGGCGGCCCGGUAAGUCCGCUGUGAAAGUCGGGGGCUCAACCCUCGAAUGCCGGUGGAUACUGUCGGGCUAGAGUGCGGAAGAGGCGAGUGGAAUUCCUGGUGUAGCGGUGAAAUGCGCAGAUAUCAGGAGGAACACCGAUUGCGAAGGCAACUCGCUGGGACGUCACUGACGCUGAGACGCGAAAGCGUGGGGAGCAAACAGG
rnacentral:rRNA from 1 species